rnacentral:rRNA from 1 species
CAGCAGCCACGGUAAAACGUAGGGUGCAAGCGUUAAUCGGAAUUACUGGGCGUAAAGCGUGCGCAGGCGGUUCGGAAAGAAAGAUGUGAAAUCCCAGGGCUCAACCUUGGAACUGCAUUUUUAACUACCGGACUAGAGUAUGUCAGAGGGAGGUGGAAUUCCACGUGUAGCAGUGAAAUGCGUAGAUAUGUGGAGGAACACCGAUGGCGAAGGCAGCCUCCUGGGAUAAUACUGACGCUCAUGCACGAAAGCGUGGGGAGCAAACAGGAUUAGAUACCCGCGUAGUCCCUGUCUCUUAUAC